CUUUGGCGUUUGGGAAUAAUUAUUUAACAGCAGCUUGUUUGCACUUUGGAACACCUCGUGCUUCCAGAGCCGGCCCAUCCUGCUGGGGAGGGGAGAGGUCCCAGCGCUGCUGUCUGGCAGACCUUGGUUUCGGUGGGCACCAGAAGCGAGGCAGAUUGCUUGCUGCUGCAACUUCACGCGUGAGCUCCAGGCUCCCCUGGUUGGAAGGUGCCAGGGAGUGAGGCGGUUUUAAGAUUCCUUCAACAUCAGGAUUCCCGAUCAUCUCAUCAACCGACUUGUUAAGAAAACUGAGGCCCAGGGAAGUGGCUCACAAUUGUGUAGAAUUGUGAGGUGUCUUGACUGCUGGGCCAGGACUGAAGGACGUACGCCCUCUCCCGGAAUCGUCUCAGCUACAGAGAACCACCUUGCCCAAGGUCACCACCCUCUUGCCAAGGGGGUCACUUGGAUCUAAUGAUUGGUUAAUGCUGGGGGGAGGGGGUAAGUCUUGGCCCCCAGCCUCAACAGUGAUGGCGGUGGCUCCGGGGUCAUCCUAGCUUCCGAGUUUCGUCUAGGUUGAGGGCGCCAUGUUGGGACUGCAUCAGCUUCUCUCUCUGCCUGGUUCUGCUUCCUUUACUUUACCAUUUGUUGUUAGUCCAGGGCACACCCCAGUAAACUUCCUGCAUGCGAGUUCAUCUUAGACUGCUUCCCAGGGAAUCGUAUGUACAACACUCGGGAGUAGAGAGUCACUGAAACGGCCCUAGCUCUGAGAGACCCCUCCUGACCAGCCAUCACCCCUCCCGCUCUUCCUUACUCUGAUUUAUUGUCUUCGUAGAAUUUAACUCUCAGGUCUAUGGCCAUACUGCCCUGAAUGCGCCUGAUCUUGUCUGAUUUCAGAAGCUAAGCAGGGUCGUGCCCGGUUAGUACUUGGAUGGGAGAAUUUAGUGCUCGAACACUAUUGCUGUAGCUUUCUUUAAUAAAUAAAUUUGACUGCCUUUCCUGCUAGACUGUAAGCUCUGUGCAUGCAGGGACAUAGUCUCUCUUGUUCUGCAGAGCCAAGAGCAGGGCCUGGUACCUGACAGGCACUCGGACAACACGUACUGAACAAGUGAAUGAACUUCCAGGCAGGAAGAGUCACACAUCCUCACCAACAACUCCUAGGGUUUCAGAGAACUAGAAAGUCUAGGAAUACAGAGGGUGCUUUCAAAAGUGUUGUCUGUAAUUGGAAAUGCCUUAUGUUUGUUUAGUGCUUUAGUUUUAUUCAUUUUUUUUUAAAGCAGUUCAUUCAAUAUUGAUAGCAACCCAUAUUAUCAUAAACCCCCAUGUGGUGGGCAAGAUAGAGGGUUGCUUUGAAGCACUGGGAGAAGAGAAACCGGCCUUGGUGAGUUGAGUCUCUUGCUCAGCCAGGCCCACAUGGAAAUGCUGGUAUCCUGCCUCCUGGACCCAUGGUCCUGUCUCUGUAUCAUCAGCAGAAGCAAACUCAAGUCAGUUGCCACUGAAACUCACCGAGUCUGACUUUCCCCCAUGAAUACUCAUAUGGGGGCCAUUUUAUUGGAGAGGAUUUCAUAUUCACCACCCUGUACGGAAUUCUAAGUGCUAGCUCAGUGCUUUCAGGUGAUUACCAUUCUUUUUUUUUUUUUUUUUGAGAUGGAGUCUUGCUGUUGCCCAGGCUGGAGUGCAGUGGCGUGAUCUCGGCUCCCUGCAACUUCUGCCUCCUGGGUUCAAGCAAUUCUCCUGUCUCAGCCUCUUGAGUGGCUGGGAUUACAGGCGUAUAUCACCACGCCCAGCUAAUUUUUGUAUUUUUUAGUAGAGACGGGGUUUUAUCACGUUGGCCAGGCUGGCCUCGAACUCCUGACCUCAAGUGAUCCGCCCGUCUCAGCCUCCCAAAGUGCUGGGAUUACAGGUGUGAGCCACCGUGCCCAGCCGAUGACCACUCUUUAGAGUUUGGGAUUAUUCUUCCAAAUGGAGAUGAUUCAGCCAUGUCUGAUAUUGGUGAUUUGAGAAGGAGGAUGUCUAGGAUUGAUGCUUUGAGAAGACGAUCUCAAUUUUCUUAGAAUAUGAUUCCUUUUGUCCUUGGAGAGUUAUUUUUAAGUAGCAGAUUCUGGGAACUCCCCAUGCCCUCCACCUCCUACUCCCAAAUUCCGCCCCCGCCCGCCCCCGCGGCCAAGUAGGCCUGGUCUCUAGACGCAUGGAAAGCGUUCAGGUCCACUCAGACUGUGCUGCGAUCUGAAAGAAUGAUAACAUACGAGAAGGCCCUUUGGUCCUACACUGUGAAUGAGUAAGGGGCAGCUGCAAAAUGCUAAGAAUGCUGAGUGCAUUAAGUGAAGUGUUUCUCCCAGGUGUGCACAGGGUGUGGCUUCCAAGGGGAAUGUGGAUGCUGGAAUGAGGGAGGCAGCCACCUAGGCCGGUCAAGUCAGAGGCCCAGCAAGGAGAAAGCGAGCCAAGGCAAACGCCGACAGAAGAGAACGAUAAAUCCGCGGCGCACUCGGCAGAACGUACACCGCACCGCAUAAUUUAGCGGGGCAAUGCCGCCGGGAGUCCACGCCAAGUUAAUGGAAUAUUUCCUGUCUGGGGACUGUGCAACCCCCUGGUCUCCCAAUGCCUCAGUUACUGACGCUGCAAACAAGGCAGAUUGUCCCAGAGAUUAGAGCUCUCAGGCUUUCUCGGGCUUCAAUCAAUCAAAGGAACGUAAGGACCCCUCCCCUACAGAGAGAGCCGGACGUGAGCCAGAUUUUGUCCAGACUUACUUAUAUCUGCCCUGUGGGAUCCCGAUUCUGCAAGAUUUAAUAAACAAUGCCUCAACAGAUAGCAUUUAAUUUUCAUUCAAACGUUUCCAGGGAAGAAAGAGGUAAAACUCUUGCUUGUACCAGCACAACUGCCCGAAACCCGUGGGAUACCCAGUCUGAGGCAUGUUGCUAUCGACAGUCAUUUCACACAGCUGGCAGUUUUUUCUUUUCUGAUGGCCUAGCUCUCUUUACUCCACCGUAAAUGCAAACUAAGACGAAACUUGGGAUUUACCUCCGGUGCCUAAAUGCCAACCUGACACUGUCUCAUUGUCUCCUGAGCCCAGUAGGACGGUAAUUUGUGAAAUACGGAGCCUCUCACCUCAGCAGCGCUUCUUUCUAUUCCCACACAUAUGCACAUGCUAAAAUGGAAUGUGGUAACUAGCAUAAAAUAGGGUACAACAAUUGCUGCAAGAUUUGUUUUUUUGGCUGGGCACAGUGGCUCACGUCUGUAAUCCCAUCACUUUGGGAGGCUGAGGUGGGUGGAUCUUUUGAGGUCAGGAGUCUGAGACCAGCCUGACUAACAUGGUGAAACCCAGUCUCUACUAAAAAUACAAAAAAAAAAAAAAAAAAAUUAGCCAGGCAUGGUGACACACGCCUAUAGUCCCAGCUACUCUGGAGGCUGAACCAGCAGAAUUGCUUGAACCCAGGAGGCAGAGGUUGCAGUGAGCCAAUAUCGUGCCACUGCACUCCAGCCUGGGAGACAGAGCGAGACUCCCUCUCAAAAAAAAAAAAAGAUUUUUUUUUUCUAUUGUGACUUUUCUACUUCUGUCAUCACUGCUGAGCCAAGACAGACAUGUAAGAUCCCGUCAGCACCGUACUUGGAUGCUGCAUUCACAAUUGUGAAUUCCAACCGUAGCCAUGACAAAGGAGAGAGGAGAGCUACAAAGCACUCAAAGGGAUGUCCCC
rnacentral:lncRNA from 10 species